rnacentral:rRNA from 1 species
UGGGGAAUUUUGGACAAUGGGCGAAAGCCUGAUCCAGCAAUGCCGCGUGUGUGAAGAAGGCCUUCGGGUUGUAAAGCACUUUUGUCCGGAAAGAAAUCCUUGGCUCUAAUACAGUCGGGGGAUGACGGUACCGGAAGAAUAAGCACCGGCUAACUACGUGCCAGCAGCCGCGGUAAUACGUAGGGUGCAAGCGUUAAUCGGAAUUACUGGGCGUAAAGCGUGCGCAGGCGGUUUGCUAAGACCGAUGUGAAAUCCCCGGGCUCAACCUGGGAACUGCAUUGGUGACUGGCAGGCUAGAGUAUGGCAGAGGGGGGUAGAAUUCCACGUGUAGCAGUGAAAUGCGUAGAGAUGUGGAGGAAUACCGAUGGCGAAGGCAGCCCCCUGGGCCAAUACUGACGCUCAUGCACGAAAGCGUGGGGGAGCAAACAGGAUUAGAUACCCCUGGUAGUCCACGCCCUAAAACGAUGUCAACUAGUUGUUGGGGAUUCAUUUCCUUAGUAACGUAGCUAACGCGUGAAGUUGACCGCCUGGGGAGUACGGUCGCAAGAUUAAAACUCAAAGGAAUUGACGGGGUCAUAGCUGUUUCCU